GUUUAAAACGAUUCACCAUACAAUUUACAACGGAAAAAUAAUUAUUAAAAUAUUUUAUUUUAUAUGCAAUGAAUAAAUGUUAUAAAAAAAUAUUAUAUUUAAAGAAAAGAUUUAAAAGUGAUAUAAAAGGAGGUGAUGUGAUAUUGAUAUAAAUGUCUUACCUUGACUUUGAGUGUCAAAAUUUUCUGUAGUUUCUGCAGGUGCUGACGUGGAUGUGGAAAUUUCAUCAUUUUUUUUCAUGAGUGCCUAACAUAUAAUGAAAACUGUAUAAAAUUUGUCUUUAAUUAAUUAUAAUUGAUAAUAAUUACUUGUGCAAUAAUGGAUGCUACUUUUUCUUUAUCCACUGCUGUAUGAAUUCGCUUAUUUUUCAAAUGAUGUGGAGUAUCUCUACGAUGAAGUCUAUUUGGUCUAUUUGAAUCACCACUACCAUCAUAAUCUGUACCUUCAGCUAUAGAAAAUUCUACAUGUC